GUACUCUCUUUGGCAGCACAAAUAUUAAAACUGGAAUGAUACAGAGACUAGCAUGGCCCUUGCGGAUGGAUAACAUGCAAAUUCAUGAACUGUUCCAUAAUUUA
rnacentral:snRNA from 1 species